UGAGCAACCCUACCCUCAACUUCGGGAUAAGCCUCGGAAACGGGGUCUAAUACCGGAUAUCACCAGCUUCCUCAUGGUUGUUGGUUGAAAGUUCUGGCGGUUGGGGAUGGGCUCGCGGCCUAUCGAGCUUGUUGGUGGGGUAAUGGCCUACCAAGGCGUCGACGGGUAGCCGGCCUGAGAGGGCGACCGGCCACACUGGGACUGAGACACGGCCCAGACCCCCUACGGGAG
rnacentral:rRNA from 1 species